GAUGAACGUUAGCGGGAGGCUUAAUACAUGCAAGUCGAGCGGUAGGUGGCUUCGGCCAUUGAGAGCGGCGCACGGGUGAGUAACGCGUACAUGACCUGCCUGUCAGAAGGGGAUAGCCCUGGGAAACUGGGAUUAAUACCCUAUGGUAUUGAUAUUAUGAAUGAUAUCAAUUAAAGUUGAGGCGCUGACAGAUGGAUGUGCGUCUGAUUAGCUAGUUGGUAGGGUAACGGCCUACCAAGGCGACGAUCAGUAGGGGGCGUGAGAGCGUGGUCCCCCACACGGGUACUGAGACACGGACCCGACUCCUACGGGAGGCAGCAGUAAGGAAUAUUGGUCAAUGCCCGCAAGGGUGAACCAGCCAUUCCGCGUGGAGGAUGAAGGCCCUAUGGGUUGUAAACUUCUUUUAGAUGGGAAGAAAAUGCUAGAUGUAUCUGGUACUGACGGUACCAUCAGAAAUAAGCACCGGCUAACUCCGUGCCAGCAGCCGCGGUAAAGUAGUCG
rnacentral:rRNA from 1 species